AUGCUAUACAAUGAAACUGCGAAUGGCUCAUUAAAACAGUUAUAGUUUAUAUGGUAAUCGAAUUUACAUGGAUAACCGUGGUAAUUCUAGAGCUAAUACAUGCUGUUAAGCCCAACUUAUGGAAGGGCCGUAUUUAUUAGAUAACAGACCAAUAUUCUUCGUGUCUAUUGUGGUGAAUCAUAGUAACUAAUCGGAUCGUAUGGGCUAGUCCCUCGACAAACCAUUCAAGUUUCUGCCCCAUCAGCUUUCGAUGGUAGUGUAUUGGACUACCAUGGCUUUCACGGGUAACGGAGGAUUAGGGUUCGAUUCCGGAGAGGGAGCCUGAGAAACGGCUACCACAUCUAAGGAAGGCAGCAGGCGCGUAAAUUACCCAAUUCUGACUCAGAGAGGUAGUGACAAGAAAUAACGGGCAGGGACAUACGUCCCUGGACUGCAAUGAACCGAAUCUACACACCUUAGUAAGUAACAAUUGGAGGGCAAGUCUGGUGCCAGCAGCCGCGGUAAUUCCAGCUCCAAUAGCGUAUAUUAAAGUUGUUGCAGUUAAAAAGCUCGUAGUUGGAUUUCUGGCGGGAUGAACACGCCCUCAGCUGAGUGUGCAUGAGCGUCUCACCAUCCUUCUGUUAACCCUUAAGGUUUUAACGACCUUCUGGGGGCUCAGAUAUUUUACCUUGAGAAAAUUAGAGUGUUUCAGGCAGGCUAGCGCCGGGAUACAUUAGCAUGGAAUAAUGGAAUAGGACUUUUUCCUCUUCUGUUGGUCUG
rnacentral:rRNA from 1 species